UCAGGUGGAAAAUCCCCAUCGAAGCAAAAUAUUAUUAAAACUCCACACCUCAAUUAACCUACAAUCAUUUCUCUAACAAGCAUAUAAAUCACUACAUAGAGAAUACUUUUCAUCUCAUAUAAUGAUGUUUUCAAUAUCAUUUUCAUUCUAGGCCAAUAACAUGGUGACGUUUUGAAGUAGAAAUUUGUACCCGCACCGUCACGCACCGUAAGAUCAAACGCCAGAGCAGCCGCAACCGCAGCAAUGAUGAUCAAGAAAGCCAUUCUCAAGGCCAUUUGAGAACGACCUCCGGUUCGAUUCUAUAUUGAAUAUACUAUUUGUACGAGAAUUGAAUUAGCAGACUUUUUUAUCUCACACGGCUCAUGGAAAAUGAUAAAUGGAGUCACAUUUUUUUUCUUAAUG
rnacentral:lncRNA from 1 species